rnacentral:tRNA from 2 species
AUUUAUAUAAUAUAAAAAUUAUAUUUAACUUCCAAUUAAAAAAUCUAAAAAUUUAGUAUAAAUA